rnacentral:rRNA from 1 species
GACAGAGGUGCCAAGCGUUAGGCGGAAUCACUGGGCUUAAAGCGUGUGUAGGCGGAUCGUUAAGUACCUUGUGAAAUCCCACGGCUCAACCGUGGAACUGCUGGGUAUACUGGCGGUCUUGAGCCACCUAGGGGCAACUGGAACAAGCGGUGGAGCGGUGAAAUGCGUAGAUAUCGCUUGGAACGCCAACGGUGAAAACAGGUUGCUGGGGGCGUGCUGACGCUGAGACACGAAAGCCAGGGGAGCGAACGGG